UACGUAGGGGGCAAGCGUUGUCCGGAUUUAUUGGGCGUAAAGAGCGUGUAGGCGGCCAGGUAGGUCUGCUGUGAAAACUCGAGGCUUAACCUCGAGCUGUCGGCGGAAACCACUUGGCUAGAGUCCGGAAGAGGAGAGUGGAAUUCCCGGUGUAGCGGUGAAAUGCGCAGAUAUCGGGAAGAACACCUAUGGCGAAGGCAGCUCUCUGGGACGGUACUGACGCUGAGACGCGAAAGCGUGGGGAGCGAACAGG
rnacentral:rRNA from 1 species